AGAGUUUGAUCCUGGCUCAGGAUGAACGCUGGCGGCGUGCCUAAUACAUGCAAGUCGAGCGAACGGACGAGAAGCUUGCUUCUCUGAUGUUAGCGGCGGACGGGUGAGUAACACGUGGAUAACCUACCUAUAAGACUGGGAUAACUUCGGGAAACCGUAGCUAAUACCGGAUAAUAUUUUGAACCGCAUGGUUCAAAAGUGAAAGACGGUCUUGCUGUCACUUAUAGAUGGAUCCGCGCUGCAUUAGCUAGUUGGUAAGGUAACGGCUUACCAAGGCAACGAUGCAUAGCCGACCUGAGAGGGUGAUCGGCCACACUGGAACUGAGACACGGUCCAGACUCCUACGGGAGGCAGCAGUAGGGAAUCUUCCGCAAUGGGCGAAAGCCUGACGGAGCAACGCCGCGUGAGUGAUGAAGGUCUUCGGAUCGUAAAACUCUGUUAUUAGGGAAGAACAUAUGUGUAAGUAACUGUGCACAUCUUGACGGUACCUAAUCAGAAAGCCACGGCUAACUACGUGCCAGCAGCCGCGGUAAUACGUAGGUGGCAAGCGUUAUCCGGAAUUAUUGGGCGUAAAGCGCGCGUAGGCGGUUUUUUAAGUCUGAUGUGAAAGCCCACGGCUCAACCGUGGAGGGUCAUUGGAAACUGGAAAACUUGAGUGCAGAAGAGGAAAGUGGAAUUCCAUGUGUAGCGGUGAAAUGCGCAGAGAUAUGGAGGAACACCAGUGGCGAAGGCGACUUUCUGGUCUGUAACUGACGCUGAUGUGCGAAAGCGUGGGGAUCAAACAGGAUUAGAUACCCUGGUAGUCCACGCCGUAAACGAUGAGUGCUAAGUGUUAGGGGGUUUCCGCCCCUUAGUGCUGCAGCUAACGCAUUAAGCACUCCGCCUGGGGAGUACGACCGCAAGGUUGAAACUCAAAGGAAUUGACGGGGACCCGCACAAGCGGUGGAGCAUGUGGUUUAAUUCGAAGCAACGCGAAGAACCUUACCAAAUCUUGACAUCCUUUGACAACUCUAGAGAUAGAGCCUUCCCCUUCGGGGGACAAAGUGACAGGUGGUGCAUGGUUGUCGUCAGCUCGUGUCGUGAGAUGUUGGGUUAAGUCCCGCAACGAGCGCAACCCUUAAGCUUAGUUGCCAUCAUUAAGUUGGGCACUCUAAGUUGACUGCCGGUGACAAACCGGAGGAAGGUGGGGAUGACGUCAAAUCAUCAUGCCCCUUAUGAUUUGGGCUACACACGUGCUACAAUGGACAAUACAAAGGGCAGCGAAACCGNNNNNNGCCGAUGAAGGACGUUACUAACGACGAUAUGCUUUGGGGAGCUGUAAGUAAGCUUUGAUCCAGAGAUUUCCGAAUGGGGAAACCCAGCAUGAGUUAUGUCAUG
rnacentral:rRNA from 1 species